CUGCUCAUAGCGCAAUUGGUAGAGCUCAAGUUUUGGGAACUUGGGGUUGCUUGUUCAAGUCAAGCUGAGCAGACCA
rnacentral:tRNA from 1 species